AAGACCCUCUCUCCUCCCACAGGGGGAGCCCACAUGAAUUGGGGAGCCUGCUGCAGGAGGAACCUUUCUUUCCCUCUCCUCUGGUUCCCACAGGGGCUCAUAAAGAGGAACCCUCCUCCUUCCUGGAAAUGUUGAGUGUUCCUGACCUUCUCUCUACCCAUCGCUGUACCCAGGGAGGGAAGAGUGACUUGGGAACCAGAUAGGGACAUGGAGCUAUUCCGGAAGCGGCUGUCAGUGUAUGGAUCAUACUGCCCAUCAGCAUUGGAGAGGCUGUGAGUCCUCAGCAUGGUCGGGUUGGACAAGCUCAUCUGGGUGACAGUGGUGGGACUCGCUGGAAUAAAAGGAAUAGAAUCAAAAGGGCCAAGACAGCCCCGGCCUCUUACCAGUUCCUGGGGUCUUCAGUGCGCCUGCCGGGGCUGAAGGCUUCGUCCUUGGCAUGGUGAUGCCCACCUGAGCUGUCAUGCCUCGCCGCCAUGAGCCUGUCUGGGAGAUGACAGGAUUCUUCUUGCCCGACGUGCUUUUGUCGGACUCGUCAGACACAUCAGAAGGAUUCCGCCUCCACUUGGAACCUGGCUCCAUUUUUAUGCCGCUGUCUGAGCCUCCGUCUGAUUUCUUGACAUCAUCACCAGACCACAGGGAAUUCCUCUCCACCUGUGAGUGCUUCUCAGCAUCAGUCUGUGGACAGAGACUCUCUGAAUUAGUCCUUCCCCAGUCCCAGGCUGGGAAGCCCCUCACUCCAAAGGCAAAAAUGCCAAAACACUGGAGUAGUUAAGGGAAAAAUAAGCAUUACUUUAAAGAUGUUUGGACUUUUGUACUCUGGUUAUCUUGUUAGAAAGACUGAUUUUUUUUUUUUGGAAAAAAAAAUAAAAAAGUAAAUAAUAUCAAUGUAUCCCUGGAAUGGAAUGGAACGAGAUGGCUGGGCACAGUGGCUCACGCCUAUAAUCCUAAUAUUUUAGGAGGCUGAGGCGGGAGGAUCACUUGAUCCCACAAGUUUAAGACCAGCCUGGGCAUCAUGGCAAAACCCCAUCUCUACAAAAAAUAGAAAAAUUAGCUGAGUGUGGUGGCACACGCCUAUAGUUCUACCCACUCGGGUGGUUGAGGUGGGAGGAUCACCCCGGGGAGGUGGAGGCUGCAGUAAGCCGUGACCGCACCACUGUACUCUAGCCUGGAUGACAGGGCGAGACUGUCUCAAAAAAGAAGAAAAGAAAAGCAAAAGAAAGGAGUGAGGGAAGAGAGGAAAAGGGGCCCAGGAAAAAAGAAGGAAAGAGCCCUAGCGAGGGGAAGGGGCAGAGCAGAUGGAGAUGCAGUGGGAAUUCAGCCACCACCUAUUUUCUGCCACUUGAACAAGCCUCCUCCAACUCUGGCGGCUGAUCUCUAACCAGCAUCCAGUCUCCUGGCCCGUUUCCCUUUGUUCUGCCUUCUUCCCAUCACUGCACCGCAGAGAGAUCUUUGGAUCUAACACACCAAGCAAGGGAGCAAGGGUGGCUGCUGGUUCUACGCAAAUCAGGGAGAGCCAGGAGCUGAGGGGAAGCGCAUCCUCAAAUGCUACUUCCCCCAAAUGCGGAGAGCCAAUGAUGCCUGCUCCGACCCCAGCAUUAUUUAUAUGCCACUGCUUUGCUCCCCUUGUGGGAUUUUGUUCUGACAAGGGAUAUAAUUAGCCAGCUUUCUUUGGAAGAGCCCUGACCUGCUGGCCAUAAAACCCAGAAGGGGACCGAAGUGUGACGUUAAUGAUCUCCUGCAGCUAAAAGGCAUAAAGCUGACCAGAAUGCUUUGGAGGCCUCCUGGGGUUUGAGGCCAGUUGGAGGAUGUCAGUAGCGAGAAGCAGCACGGUAAAUGGGGAAGGGAGGUCAGGAGCGCUUUCAGGGUGGGUAUACUAAGAUACCAGUCCCAUAUUUGCAAUGCUUAACUACCGAGAGUAGGCAAGAUAGGAAAUUAAAAUGAACACCUGGCAAGAAUCUGCCUAACGCCUGUCAUCCAAGAGUGGAAGAAAUGCCUUCCUCCAUGGAAUACAAUGGCUGAAUGGGAUAAAAGCUAAAAACAGAUAGGCAGCCCAAGUUCAAUCGCCUCCCCAACACCACCCCAACCCCUUCUCCCCUUAUGAAUUCCACUCAUCCAUUACAGACACCUUAUGAGUUCUUUCAUUUGUUUUUUUCCAGCUAAGUAUUAGUCACUAGAGAUAUGAGGAGGACAAACACACACUGCCUGGCUAUGAGAAGCUCAUCAUUCAGCUGUGGCAAGGGACAGAGAGAGGGGAGUUCCUACAUGUGGGCACAGGGCAGGAGCUCACUCAAAGCUUGAUGAGCGAAUGAAUGAGCCUAGGAAGGAGCCAAGGAACACACGCUUUUCAGGCCACAACAGACAUUAGCAAAAUUAUCUUAUCCGAUCUCAGCCUCUAUUUAAUCAGAAAGGGUAAGUACACAAGUACUCAAGUACUGUUAUCUUUAUCUCAAUCUUACAGAAACUAAAGUUGCCCAUUCUUUGUCCCAACUACCUCAGGUCAGUUUCCUUCCUCUAAACACUUCCAGUACAUUCAUCCAACCAGAAUUUACUCCAUGCUUGCUGUCUGCCAGGCACCACGGAGGGUCAGAGAAUCUGGGGAUAAGACUGAUUUCCCACCCAUGGUGGAGCUUACGAUCCAGUGAAACAGGCAGAGAUAGAAUAAAUAAACACAAACAAGGGUGUAAUUGUAGACUACGAAGACUAUUAUAAGGAAAAAGACAAAAAGUCUGAGAAAUAAAUAUAGACAUUGACCUAAUUUAGAUGACAAUGAGGUGGGUAGGCGACAGUGAUCAGUUCAAAAAGAAGUACCCUAAAGAAAGAAAAGAAACUUACUUAGUAAAAGAAGAGUUUGGGGCAGAGCAUACCAGGGAGAGGGAACCACAUGUAUAAAGGUCCUGAGGCAGAAAAUAACUUGGCUUUGGAACAUUCACUUCACAAAUAUUUAUUGGGUGCCACUACGUGCCAGGAAAGCUUAUUCGCACUAGGAAUACUGCAAUGAACAAGUAUAAAUCAUUAACCUCAUGGAGCUUACAUUCAAGUACAUUUUAACAUAUUCUAAUAUGCUCUAAGAGGUACUGAAAAUUUAGCACAUGCCACAUCCUGGGUUACUGCAUUAUUUAUUCUUUUAAUGUUCCUAUACUUAUUUCCCCCCAAUCAAACUGUAAUGGUGCUAAUACUAGUAGCAUAACAACUACAAUUUAUUGAGUACUUACUACGUCCCAGGCACUAAGCUAAAGUGUUUGAUAUGUAUCAUUAAAUUUAAUCCUUAUCAAAAACCUAUGAGGAAAUUACAGUUAAUAGUCUCAAUUUUACAUGACAAAACUGAGGCAAACAGUGAAAAGAAAAUUUCCCAAGAUCACAUAGUGAGGAAGUAGAGAUGCAGGGAAUUCAGGGAGUCUAACUGCAGAGCCCACAUUUUAACCACCAUGCCACACUGCCCUCCCUAAGGAUAAGUCGAGGUAUAUGAUACAUUUGUGCAUACUCAGUAGCACCUAAUAGCUAUACCCAGCAGAUUCUCCUUCCAUACUGGCAGGCUCCCCAACCCCAGUUCUAGAGCAGCUCUAGCUUAGCCUCUAGGUGGGACCCAUACAACUCCAUUUCCAUCAGUGGCAGAGACAGCGCACAUGCCCCUGGCCUGGGAAUGUGGCUUGACUUUCUCUCUCUGGAAAGAACAAUCAUCCAGCCAUCACAUCUCCCUAGCUUGGUCCAGGGUGGUCACCUUCCCAGCUCUACUCUGAAUCCUUCAUGAGCUACAUGCCGGACUAUAAGGUGGCACCCCUUGGGAUUAAAAAACGAGAAAGUCCCAGCCUCUCUGUUCCUGGAGCUCGCAACAGCGGAACCAGCCAACAGGACAUCCACAUGGGGACGUACGAAGAGUUCUAUCCUGCCUUCCCCUCCAUGCCUCGGCCAGUUGUUUCCAUCUCAAUGGUACCUCCUUUCUGAAGGGUUUUCUUCUGCCUGUUCUUGGAAGUCUAUGUAGUCAUUCGAUAUCCACAUGGGAAGGUGAGGAAAGAAGCCACGCACAAGGGACUUCAGAAGGGAGGCCAGUCUUCUGAGAGCAAGAGGUGAGGCCUGAGGAGCAUGAUGUGGGGGAAGAGUGUGGGCUUUGGGUCUGACAGAUCUGGGUUCAAGUGUUCGGUGCUGCCACUCAUUUGCUGUGCAUGACCUUGGAAGACAUUGCCCUACUUAUCUGAACUUAUUAACUCAUGUAUAAAACAUGGAUGAUAAAUAGGUCUCUUACAGCAUUGAUGGUGAACUCAGUGAACUCAGUGUGGGGGGACUCAAUAA
rnacentral:lncRNA from 1 species